GCCACCUAGUAAUGACCACAACCAUUAUUAUUACCGACAUCACACAUGUUGGGGCAGGCUGCUAAGCGAAAGAAAUUCAAAAAAAAGGCCUGUAUCCCACAAGAUACAGGCCUUUUUUUA
rfam:Vibrio coralliilyticus strain 58 chromosome I, complete sequence.